AUCCCUGUGUACUUGUGCUCUUUUGAAGUAAAUGGUUCAGAACUGUGAAGUUAAUUCCUAGCAGAUCACUGUCUGAGGUGAUCACAUUGAAACGAUUCAGAAAGAAACUAUUAAACUGCCUUCAAGUUAAAUUUAAAUAGGCAGUAUCAAAGGCACAAGGGGAAGGUGGUAAGGACUGGUUCAAGGAAAAUGGGAGUCAUUUCUGCAACUGAAGGCAUGUCUCAUGGAGGUUGAUGGUCCACCAUGGUCUGGAAGAGGGAAUACACUUUGGAUAGUGUUCCAGCAUGGGAUAGAUUGGUUUCCUGAAGCACAUCCUUUCUCCCAGCAUUUCCACGCAAAUCCAUAAACAGAUCAACAUGAGUUCCUGAUGACAGCUGACUCACACAUACUGUAAACCAAGAAAUAUCAAGUCAAAUGAUGUUUAGCAGCAAAGUAACUAAAACAUAUAGCAAUUAAAUAUUGACACGACUUUUUCA